AUUACGGGGCGCAGCAGGCGCGAAAACUUUACAAUGCUGGCAACAGCGAUAAGGGAACCUCGAGUGCCAGGUUACAAAUCUGGCUGUCGAGAUGCCUAAAAAGCAUUUCAUAGCAAGGGCCGGGCAAGACCGGUGCCAGCCGCCGCGGUAACACCGGCGGCUCGAGUGGUAACCGUUAUUAUUGGGUCUAAAGGGUCUGUAGCCGGCCGGAUAAGUCUCUUGAGAAAUCUGGCAGCUUAACUGUCAGGCUUUCAGGAGAUACUGUCUGGCUCGAGGCCGGGAGAGGUGAGAGGUACUUCAGGGGUAGGGGUGAAAUCUUGUAAUCCUUGAAGGACCACCAGUGGCGAAGGCGUCUCACCAGAACGGACCUGACGGCAAGGGACGAAAGCUAGGGGCGCGAACCGGAUUAGAUACCCGGGUAGUCCUAGCCGUAAACGAUACUCGCUAGGUGUCGGCCACGGUGCGACCGUUGUCGGUGCCGAAGGGAAACCGUGAAACGCGCCGCCUGGGGAGUACGGUCGCAAGGCUGAAACUUAAAGGAAUUGGCGGGGGAGCACAAU
rnacentral:rRNA from 1 species